CACAAGAAAAAUCAAAGUUAAAAAAAAGUAGAAUAAAAUGCAAGCAAGCAACUUUUAUUGUGUGAAAGAGUGAAAAUGUUAUGUUGUGAACUAUGUUCAAUUCCCACAAUCCUCUCUCUGAGUAUAGAUGAUUCUCUUCCUCAUUGAACAAUUGGAACUGGUUUGAAUCAUCUCAUUGUUGAAGAGAGCCACAUAUAUCAGAAUUGAUUAUUGUAUAAUCUUGUUGUUGCUAUAUAUAAUGAUCUCCUGGUUCUGCUUAUUUCACUUAGUAUCAGUUCAUGUAAGUCUCUCCAGGCCUCUUUGAAAUCAUCCUGAUGUUAUGAUGUUUAAAGAAUAUACAUGAAGUCAAGAAUACAUGGGUUCUUACCUAACCAGGGUGUUCCUUAAAAUGAAAGAAAGAAAUUAUGAAGCACCAGAACCACCAACAUUGGAAGCAAUGGAGAUCUGGAUGGUGAGCACAAUCAUGCCUUGUUGACCACAAGUGGCAUCACAAAAUACCAAUGUUUGGGGGGAAGAGGAAGAGUUGGAGAGCAUGACCAGUGCACAUCAAUGAUGCAAUAUCCACAAGGAAACUGGAGAAACAGCUUCCAGAAAGGCCGUAUGAUAUGUGAUAGAAGGACCCUGCUUCAUGAUCUCAAGUAUGUGCAAGAUAUUCUGUAACUAUUUCUGAUCUACUCAUUAUAUAUAUAAUGAAGAAGAGUCAUUUUGAUUAACUGUAGAACCAAAAUUUUGGUGCUUCUUCAUUUUCUACCAACUUCUAUCUUGUGAGAGAGACAUGUCAGUGGGAAAAGAAACCUUAGGCUCUUAUUCUCCCGCCAGGACCAUGAUGUUGCUAUAUUUGUUAUGUCUGGUUUUUCAUGUUUUUACAUAAAGAAAUACUAGAAAUUACUACACCUUAUUAACUUUGAAAGAUCAUAAAGAGGGAGCCACCAGUAGCAAAGAAGCUGGGCCCCAUGUCAGAAUUAGACAGGAGCCAGAUAGUGAGUGGCAAAGUUUCAAACAACUUGUUUCCCAAAGUAGAGUGAAAGCAGUCAAAAGGGGAACCUACUGUUGUUCAUUCAUCCCCUGACUAUGGCAAAUUUAU
rnacentral:lncRNA from 1 species